GAGCUACUCCAUCGGUUCGGAAUUACUUGUCGCAGAAAUGGAUGUAUCUAAAAUCUAGAUACAUCCAUUUCUGCGACAAGUAAUUCUGAACGGAGGGAGUACAAA
rfam:Triticum aestivum genome assembly, contig: Triticum_aestivum_CS42_TGACv1_scaffold_592953_7BS